GAUGAACGCUGGCGGCGUGCCUAAUACAUGCAAGUCGAGCGAACAGACGAGGAGCUUGCUCCUCUGACGUUAGCGGCGGACGGGUGAGUAACACGUGGAUAACCUACCUAUAAGACUGGGAUAACUUCGGGAAACCGGAGCUAAUACCGGAUAAUAUAUUGAACCGCAUGGUUCAAUAGUGAAAGACGGUUUUGCUGUCACUUAUAGAUUGAUCCGCGCCGCAUUAGCUAGUUGGUAAGGUAACGGCUUACCAAGGCAACGAUGCGUAGCCGACCUGAGAGGGUGAUCGGCCACACUGGAACUGAGACACGGUCCAGACUCCUACGGGAGGCAGCAGUAGGGAAUCUUCCGCAAUGGGCGAAAGCUUGACGGAGCAACGCCGCGUGAGUGAUGAAGGUCUUCGGAUCGUAAAACUCUGUUAUUAGGGAAGAACAAAUGUGUAAGUAACUAUGCACGUCUUGACGGUACCUAAGCAGAAAGCCACGGCUAACUACGU
rnacentral:rRNA from 1 species